rnacentral:misc_RNA from 1 species
GCGCCGGAAAAGCAAUGGCGCCUCAUUCUGACUCUGAGGAGUCGUACACGAGCAUUGUCGUGCAGAGCUUUUCUCCGUCGACACCGCCGCCGACGGCGGCAAAUUACAGGACGGCAAAGCGGCGGAAGGGCAUUCCUCACCGUGCGCCGCUCGGUGGGCUUAUGUUUGAGUACUAGUUUCAGAGGAGUCCAACCAUAAACAUAUCAAUGUAUAAUUAGACUCGGAACAAGUUAUAUGACAAUGCUGCAGUACACAGUGCUUCGAGGCGAGGCCGGAGGCGGCGAGCUCUGACCGGUGUAGGUAUCCUUGAGCUGAUAUGAUACACAUGUAACAUGGUUGUAGGCUACAUUAUAUAGGUUUCUAUAUAAAUUAAGCAUAGUUUUGUGAGAUAAAUGCAGGCCUAGGUUGUGGUAUGAAGUGUAUAAAAGAAUGUAAUUGUGAGAGAGCUUUUGUGUUCAUAGAUGGAG